rnacentral:tRNA from 1 species
CCUUCGAUAGCUCAGUUGGUAGAGCGAUGGACUGUAGAGUUUUCGAGGUCCAUAGGUCGCUGGUUCAAAUCCGGCUCGAAGGAUCU